GAUGAACGCUGGCGGCAUGCCUAAUACAUGCAAGUCGAACGAGAGGAAGGAAAGCUUGCUUUCCUGAAUCUAGUGGCGAACGGGUGAGUAACACGUAGGUAACCUGCCCAUGUGCCCGGGAUAACUUCUGGAAACGGAUGCUAAAACCGGAUAGGUAGCAGACAAGCAUUUGACUGCUAUUAAAGUGGCCUUGGCCAUGAACAUGGCUGGACAUGCGGUGCAUUAGCUAGUUGGUGAGGUAACGGCCCACCAAGGCGACGAUGCAUAGCCGGCCUAGGAGGGCGGACGGCCACAUUGGGACUGAGACACGGCCCAAACUCCUACGGGAGGCAGCAGUAGGGGAUUUUCGUCAAUGGGGGGAACCCUGAACGAGCAAUGCCGCGUGAGUGAGGAAGGUCUUCGGAUCGUAAAGCUCUGUUGUAAGAGAAAAACGGCACUCAUAGGGAAUGAUGAGUGAGUGAUGGUAUCUUACCAGAAAGUCACGGCUAACUUCGUGCCAGCCGCCGCCGUAAAAC
rnacentral:rRNA from 1 species